UACGUAGGGUGCAAGCGUUGUCCGGAAUUAUUGGGCGUAAAGAGCUUGUAGGCGGUUUGUCGCGUCUGCUGUGAAAUUUCGGGGCUCAACCCCGAACUUGCAGUGGGUACGGGCAGACUAGAGUGUGGUAGGGGGAGACUGGAAUUCCUGGUGUAGCGGUGAAAUGCGCAGAUAUCAGGAGGAACACCAGCGGCGAAGGCGGCGCUCUGGGCUGGAACUGACGCUGAGGAGCGAAAGCGUGGGGAGCGAACAGG
rnacentral:rRNA from 1 species